AGUUGCCCAUUUUUCUGAUCGCGUGAAGUGCAUCCACCAUUCUGAUUGUACCAGCCACAAAUGUUCCACUGACAAACCCACUCCGUACUGCAAGCACGAUCAUGUUCUUUUAAUUUUUGGAGCCCACUGUGACUGUACGGAGUGUGUUGAAGAUAGAGAUUGUCACUGCCCAGCUGGAACAACACCACACUGUGACCAGCACCUCCUUUCCCACAACUUUAGGACUUGUCAAUGUAAUCCAACGAUAAUUACAACAACCACAUCCGUCCCUCCACCGACCGUGACUCAGCUAUCAACAACAGCCUGUCAUUAUCAUGCUGACUGCAGUGGACACAUAUGUCCCUCUGAUAAACACCCUUACUGCAAAAUCGACAGAUACUCAACAACAUGUGAUUGUACAGUUUGCACAGAACAUAGUCAUUGUCUUUGCCCUCAAGGACUGAUUGCUCAAUGUCACUUUGAUUAUAUACAUAAUUCUCAUAGAUGUAUUUGUGGACUAGCACGAGACACAACAAUAAAGACAACAAGUACUACAGCAGCAACAACAAGCACAACGACAAAAACAACAAUAGCAGGU